rnacentral:rRNA from 1 species
UACGGGGGGGGCAAGCGUUGUUCGGAAUUACUGGGCGUAAAGGCUCGUAGGCGGCCAACUAAGUCGGAUGUGAAAUCCCCAGGCUCAACUUGGGAACUGCAUCCGAUACUGGAUGGCUUGAAUUCGGGAGAGGGAUGCAGAAUUCCAGGUGUAGCGGUGAAAUGCGUAGAUAUCUGGAGGAAUACCGGUGGCGAAGGCGGCAUCCUGGACCGACAUUGACGCUGAGGAGCGAAAGCUAGGGGAGCAAACGGG